rnacentral:lncRNA from 1 species
AUCAAGUACUACUCUAGCAUACUGCAGAACCUCCUCCUCGUUGGGAGCACCGCUAUACUCUGCAUAGUUUUCUAAUUCUGAAGCAUAUCCCAAAUCUCCGACAUGGUAAAUAAGAAAAAAAAACUUAAUUUCAUGAGAGUAGCAUGAAAUCCUUGAACAGCUAAGUUAAAACAAGGGAGGAACUCAAAGCUUACUGUAUCAGCAUAUAUGACACUGGCACCACCUCCAGCAACCAUUGUCCAGAUGCGCCCCUUUGGGUUCAAAACGGUGAACUUCAGAGAUGCACUUGUCUGAAAGAAUAAGGUCAUUAUAUCACAUUUAGCAAAUAAUUCAAAAAAAC